rnacentral:rRNA from 1 species
AUUGAACGCUGGCGGCAUGCCUUACACAUGCAAGUCGAACGGUAACAGGCCGCAAGGUGCUGACGAGUGGCGAACGGGUGAGUAAUGCAUCGGAACGUGCCCAGUCGUGGGGGAUAACUGCUCGAAAGAGCAGCUAAUACCGCAUACGAUCUAUGGAUGAAAGCGGGGGACCGUAAGGCCUCGCGCGAUUGGAGCGGCCGAUGUCAGAUUAGGUAGUUGGUGGGGUAAAGGCUCACCAAGCCAACGAUCUGUAGCUGGUCUGAGAGGACGACCAGCCACACUGGGACUGAGACACGGCCCAGACUCCUACGGGAGGCAGCAGUGGGGAAUUUUGGACAAUGGGGGCAACCCUGUUCCAGCAAUGCCGCGUGCAGGAAGAAGGCCUUCGGGUUGUAAACUGCUUUUGUACGGAACGAAACGGUCUGGGUUAAUACCCUGGGCUAAUGACGGUACCGUAAGAAUAAGCACCGGCUAACUACGUGCCAGCCGCCGCCGUAAAAC